GGUGAGUGGUGUCCAGGUGAGUGGUGUUCAGGUGGUGGCACCCAGGUGAGUGGUGUCCAGGUGAGUGGCAUUACCCAGGUGAGAGGUGUCCAGGUGAGUGGCACCCAGUUGAGUGGUGCCCAGGUGAGUAACAGCCAGGCGAAUGGUGUCCAGGUGAGUGGUGUCCAGGUGAGCGGUGUCCAGGUGAGUGGUGUCCAGGUGAGAGGUGUCCAGGUGAGUGGUGUCCAGGUGAGAGGUGUCUAGGUGAGUGGUGUCCAGGUGAAUGGCAUUCAGGUGGGUGGCACCGUCAAGGUGACAAUAGCUAACAAUUAUUGGGCUCACUGUGGACCGGUACUAUGCCAAGCUGAACAUCACUGAACUCAAUUCAUCCUCGCCAGGAGCUUAUGGGCCGUCCCUAGAUCAGAAUGCGAGGAGAAGGGACUUCCACACGGCAGCCAGCGAGCUGGAGAGCGGCCUCCUACCACCGCCAGGCUCCCCAGCCCAGUCCUGGAUAUCUGUGAAAGAAUGAGCGGAUCCCCACAGCCAGGUGGCUAUCCCCAAACACACUCGUUUACACUGAAGCACCAAGACAUCAGAACCUUCUGGAAUCUUAAUAGGCAAGGAAUCCGUGGAGAAGGCGCCGAAGAAGAGAGUCGUCCUUAGGCCAGGCUGGAGGGAAACUCAAGAGGGCGGCCUGGCCCUGGAUGGCGGAAGUGGGAGCAGCAGGGGCCCCGGCGCGGAGGCCUGAAGAGCAGAAGCUUCCUCCCUUCUCAGGAAGCUAAGACCCCAGAGGCUGAAAUUUCACCCAGACCCAGGAAAGCCAGAGUCCGGAGAAUCCCCCUGGUCCCUGCCCAUCAAUCCCAAAGUGAGGGUCUUUCUCAGGACUUGGGGGUCGUGGCAGCUGCUCCACUUCCAACUUUCAGAUCCUGCUCACUUUCCUCUUUCCGCCGUCUCCAACCUGGGACCAAGCAGGAGAAAGCGGCUCCAGCCCAGCUUAAGCCCCCUGCAGAUGGAGACCUGUGCACCUGGUUGUGA